rnacentral:tRNA from 1 species
NCCCGCUUAGCUCAGAGGUUAGAGCAC